rnacentral:rRNA from 1 species
UACGAAGGGGGCUAGCGUUGCUCGGAAUCACUGGGCGUAAAGGGUGCGUAGGCGGGUCUUUUAAGUCAGGGGUGAAAUCCUGGAGCUCAACUCCAGAACUGCCUUUGAUACUGAGGAUCUUGAGUAUGGGAGAGGUGAGUGGAACUGCGAGUGUAGAGGUGAAAUUCGUAGAUAUUCGCAAGAACACCAGUGGCGAAGGCGGCUCACUGGCCCAUUACUGACGCUGAGGCACGAAAGCGUGGGGAGCAAACAGGG